UACGGAGGGUGCAGGCGUUAAUCGGAAUUACUGGGCGUCAAGCGCACGCAGGCGGUCUGUUAAGUCAGAUGUGAAAUCCCCGGGCUUAACCUGGGAACUGCAUUUGAAACUGGCAGGCUUGAGUCUCGUAGAGGGGGGUAGAAUUCCAGGUGUAGCGGUGAAAUGCGUAGAGAUCUGGAGGAAUACCGGUGGCGAAGGCGGCCCCCUGGACGAAGACUGACGCUCAGGUGCGAAAGCGUGGGGAGCAAACA
rnacentral:rRNA from 1 species